rnacentral:rRNA from 1 species
GUACACUCCUACGGGAGGCAGCAGUGGGGAAUAUUGCACAAUGGGCGCAAGCCUGAUGCAGCCAUGCCGCGUGUAUGAAGAAGGCCUUCGGGUUGUAAAGUACUUUCAGCGGGGAGGAAGGCGAUAAGGUUAAUAACCUUGUUGAUUGACGUUACCCGCAGAAGAAGCACCGGCUAACUCCGUGCCAGCAGCCGCGGUAAUACGGAGGGUGCAAGCGUUAAUCGGAAUUACUGGGCGUAAAGCGCACGCAGGCGGUCUGUCAAGUCGGAUGUGAAAUCCCCGGGCUCAACCUGGGAACUGCAUUCGAAACUGGCAGGCUAGAGUCUUGUAGAGGGGGGUAGAAUUCCAGGUGUAGCGGUGAAAUGCGUAGAGAUCUGGAGGAAUACCGGUGGCGAAGGCGGCCCCCUGGACAAAGACUGACGCUCAGGUGCGAAAGCGUGGGGAGCAAACAGGAUUAGAAACCCCAGUAGUCC